rnacentral:rRNA from 1 species
GAUGAACGCUGGCGGCGUGCCUAAUACAUGCAAGUCGAGCGAACAGACGAGGAGCUUGCUCCUCUGACGUUAGCGGCGGACGGGUGAGUAACACGUGGAUGACCUACCUAUAAGACUGGGAUAACUUCGGGAAACCGGAGCUAAUACCGGAUAAUAUCUUGAACCGCAUGGGUCAAUAGUGAAAGACGGCUUUGCUGUCACUUAUAGAUGGAUCCGCGCCGCAUUAGCUAGUUGGUAAGGUAACGGCUUACCAAGGCAACGAUGCGUAGCCGACCUGAGAGGGUGAUCGGCCGCACUGGAACUGAGACACGGUCCAGACUCCUACGGGAGGCAGCAGUAGGGAAUCUUCCGCAAUGGGCGAAAGCCUGACGGAGCAACGCCGCGUGAGUGAUGAAGGUCUUCGGAUCGUAAAACUCUGUUAUUAGGGAAGAACAAAUGUGUAAGUAACUAUGCACGUCUUGACGGUACCUAAUCAGAAAGCCACGGCUAACUACGUG